CAACAUUACAUUUGCACUCAGAUGUAACGGGAAGAGAGAACAAACGAACGGGAUUCUUUGCGUUACAGUGGUCAAGUGGUCAAGCGGUCAAGCCAAGAAGGCAAGAACUGAAGAAGAAACAAGCCUGCACCUGUCAUCAUCACGGAUCAGUUUCAGUUUCAGGGCAUGGCUUUCCUCUAGCAGCUCUCCCUCUGCAGGUCUCCAUGGCCAUGGCCUCCCCUUCCCUCUAU
rnacentral:lncRNA from 1 species